GACGAACGCUGGCGGCGUGCUUAACACAUGCAAGUCGAACGGAAAGGCCCUGCUUUUGUGGGGUGCUCGAGUGGCGAACGGGUGAGUAACACGUGAGUAACCUGCCCUUGACUUUGGGAUAACUUCAGGAAACUGGGGCUAAUACCGGAUAGGAGCUCCUGCUGCAUGGUGGGGGUUGGAAAGUUUCGGCGGUUGGGGAUGGACUCGCGGCUUAUCAGCUUGUGGGUGGGGUAGUGGCUUACCAAGGCUUUGACGGGUAGCCGGCCUGAGAGGGUGACCGGCCACAUUGGGACUGAGAUACGGCCCAGCCUCCUACGGGAGGCAGCAGUGGGGAAUAUUGCACAAUGGGCGGAAGCCUGAUGCAGCAACGCCGCGUGCGGGAUGACGGCCUUCGGGUUGUAAACCGCUUUCGCCUGUGACGAAGCGUGAGUGACGGUAAUGGGUAAAGAAGCACCGGCUAACUACGUG
rnacentral:rRNA from 1 species